UGAUGCAGGCUCAAUCUUGUCAACCUCUAAGCAAAACUGUCUGGAGAGGAAGCCGGAAGAGAGCGGAGGAACGAAUUCUCCACGGAAUAUACCUCACCGCAGUUCAACCGCGAGGCGCAUCCUCCAUCUCAGCGCCCUCGAACUUUGAAAAGGCUCCCCCAACUCCCUUUCAGGGAGCUUCUGAGAAAGGCUUGCACGCAAUCCAAGUCAACGGAAAAGCAUACCUAGCCGCCACACCCUGGGACCUGGUGGAGAAAUGCAGAGACAGAGACGUGGAACGGCCAAUGGAAGCCCAUCCUAGCAGGCCUGCCUUGGGCGCAUCUCUUUAAACAGGAGCCUGCCUUGAACUCUACAGAUGGUUAUCUUACAGUCUUGAGAGAAGCUGGACAGGCAUAAAAUCAUUUGUCUAUUUCUUCCUGUCUGUCACCCAUGGUGUUUGUCUUUUGGCUUCCUGCUCAGAACAGGAAAUUGCAAAAAUAGAGAUUUGAUCAGUUCCCAUUACUCUAGUGAGCCUCGUUAGUUUAACUAGACCAGCGGUGCAUUUAAUUCUCCCCUGAAGUUAUACAAAUUGUCAGAAGAGUCUAGUCUUGUUUAGCAUUUAAUUAUCUCUUAAUUUCCCAGCCGCUGAGUUCUCAUGGGUAGUGAGCCUGCGUCUGAAAAUUGUCUCAAAGUAAAAAUAGGCAGCACGUUGGAGACAGUUUCCAUUACUCAUUGACCUAGAAAAAUCCCCUCUGGGUAGCUCGGUCCCAAGCAGGUCUACAGGCUUCUAGGCCAGCUGUGCCUGUCAAAGGGGGGGGGGCAGGAGAUGUUGGUACUCAGAGCACCAUUUAGUGACUGUAAGCUUUGAUGCAGGGUUUUAUCUGCUCCUCACCGAUCCUGAGGAGCUGGUACCAAACCGUUUUACAGAUGGGAAGGGGACUGUAAAGGGCUCAGGCUGGAGCUGAAGAUAAUGGACAUUUGGGGGUAACCCCAAGGGCUAGACAGAGAGCAAGUGACUGACCCCGUCUCUUCCCCUUCCCCUCCACCCAUGCUGGUCAUAGGCAAUGGAGUAGAAAGGAAGGAUAGUUUGUUGGGAGGGCUUAACAUCGAGACGGUAGCCACGCUGAGCCUGACUGUCUAACCCGUACUGUGUGUGACAUCAGAAGCAGCCUGGAGAUCACUCUGAAGCUUAGUGCUCCCAUCUCCAAAUGUCCGAGUCACUCACACUCCUCUGUGGGAGUGCCUGAGAAGGUUUUAGAUGAAGAUUUAGGAAAACCAAGAAUGAUUGACACCUGGAGUAAUACUGUUUAGGACAGAACUAAGAAUUGUAAGCUAGUAGCCAAAGUUAGAGAAUGUUAAGAAAAAAGGGAUGUACCUGUUUUCACAAAUCCUCAUUUACACUAGGGAGUCUGAGGCAAGAGGAUCCCAAGCUUAAGGGAAACUUAAUGAGACCCUGUCUCAAAAAUUUAAUAAAAGGGGGAGAGACUGCAGAUGUAGUGGAGUUGCAGAAUGGCUCUGUGCUAGUGGGUUCAGUCCUUGGUACUAAAAAAAGCAGCUGGCGUUUCCAUAGUGAGACUGAGUAAAUAAGAGUACAAAAAAACAAUGUUUUUACAGCGAAAUGAGAAUGUUCUAAAUAAAACUGGCCGUGAUUUUUCAUG